GAUGAACGCUGGCGGCGUGCCUAAUACAUGCAAGUCGAGCGAACAGACGAGGAGCUUGCUCCUCUGACGUUAGCGGCGGACGGGUGAGUAACACGUGGAUAACCUACCUAUAAGACUGGGAUAACUUCGGGAAACCGGAGCUAAUACCGGAUAACAUGUUGAACCGCAUGGUUUAACAGUGAAAGACGGUCUUGCUGUCACUUAUAGAUGGAUCCGUGCCGCAUUAGCUAGUUGGUAAGGUAACGGCUUACCAAGGCAACGAUGCGUAGCCGACCUGAGAGGGUGAUCGGCCACACUGGAACUGAGACACGGUCCAGACUCCUACGGGAGGCAGCAGUAGAGAAUCUUUCGCAAUGGGCGAAAGCCUGACGGAGCAACGCCGCGUGAGUGAAGAAGGUCUUCGGAUCGUAAAACUCUGUUAUUAGGGAAGAACAAAUGUGUAAGUAACUAUGCACGUCUUGACGGUACCUAAUCAGAAAGCCACGGCUAACUACGUG
rnacentral:rRNA from 1 species